rnacentral:lncRNA from 1 species
CCUCUCACUCACAACGUCACGUAGCGCCGGCCGACAUUAGCCAAUCAGAGGCCGCGCUCCGGCGAGCGUGCGCUACGAUUGGCCAACGGUUCACUCUGUGCAAACUGGAAAACGUAGUUUUUGUACCCAAUAACUGUAGUCCAUCUUCGUCAAAUACAUGUUUACAUCCGCACUGACCCAUAAAACGCUUCGAGAAUGAUGUAGAGCUGCACAGGCUUCUCCUAGCAAGAUUUCUACUGUUUAAGCACAGGAUCAUCAGGUUUAUAAAGAUCCCUCCCCAUCUCCUAGCAACCAGUGUAUUCAGGCUAAACAAGCGUGCACUGAGGGUUAAAGCAGGUGCCAUGGUGACCAACUUUCCGCUCCUGUUUGGUCAA